rnacentral:rRNA from 1 species
UAAGGAAUAUUGGUCAAUGGACGCAAGUCUGAACCAGCCAUGCCGCGUGAAGGAUGAAGGUCCUCUGGAUUGUAAACUUCUUUUAUCUGGGACGAAAACGGGAUUUUUAUCUCAAUUGACGGUACCAGAGGAAUAAGCACCGGCUAACUCCGUGCCAGCAGCCGCGGUAAUACGGAGGGUGCGAGCGUUAUCCGGAUUUACUGGGUUUAAAGGGUGCGUAGGUGGGUAUGUAAGUCAGUGGUGAAAUCCCCGAGCUUAACUUGGGAACUGCCAUUGAGACUAUAUAUCUUGAAUACCGUAGAGGGAAUCGGAAUAUGUCAUGUAGCGGCGAAAGGCUUAGAUAUGACAUGGAACACCAAUUGCGAAGGCAGCUUACUAUGCGGUGAUUGACACUGAGGCACGAAAGCGUGGG